rnacentral:rRNA from 1 species
GACGAACGCUGGCGGCGUGCUUAACACAUGCAAGUCGAGCGGUAAGGCCCUUUCGGGGGUACACGAGCGGCGAACGGGUGAGUAACACGUGGGUGACCUGCCCUCAGCUCUGGGAUAAGCCUGGGAAACCGGGUCUAAUACCGGGAUAUGACUCCAUGACGCAUGUUGUGGGGUGGAAAGCCUUGUGCGGCUGAGGAUGGGCCCGCGGCCUAUCAGCUUGUUGGUGGGGUGAUGGCCUACCAAGGCGACGACGGGUAGCCGGCCUGAGAGGGCGACCGGCCACACUGGGACUGAGACACGGCCCAGACUCCGUACGGGAGGCAGCAGGUGGGGAAUCUUGCGCAAGUGGGCGAAAGCCUGACGCAGCGACGCCGCGUGAGGGAUGA